ensembl:lncRNA
AAUUAAAAGAACAAUAAAUCAAUUCUGAAGGUCCGAUCAGGACAUUUACUUAUGUAAAGAAUACAAGGACUUGGAAGUGCAGUUAUGGCUGAAAAAUGAGGUCGUAAAUUCAGCGUCCACUCGUCCGACGUGGCAGCGCUUAUUCUACACAGGGUUGUGGGGGACCUGGAGCCUGUUCCAGGGAACUCUGGGCACAAGGCAGGGGCCACAGUGGACAGCGUGCCAACCCACCGCAGGGCACCAUCCCUCUCACUCGCACAUUCAUGAUGGACAAUUUGGAAAUGGGAAUCAGCCUGGAAAGCAUGUCUUUGGACUAGGGGAAGGGACACUGGGGUACCUGGAGGAACUCCUCGAAACAUGUGGAGAACAUGUAAACUCUGCUCACACACGGCAGAGGCGGGAUUUGAACCCCCACCCCAACACUAAGGCACUGUGCCCCCCUUCACAAAUCUAUUUAGUCCGUUGGUUCUCGAGAAAUGCUGGCCCCCCUCUUCAUUAAUGGUGAGUGUGUGGAGAAGGUCCACACCGUCCGGUUUCUUGGCGUCCUUAUCUCUGCAGACAUCUCCUGGACGGACAACAUCACAGCGGUUAUCAAGAAGGCUCAAACGCGGC